rnacentral:lncRNA from 1 species
GGCGGGUCGUGGGGCGCCCAUGGCGGAGUGUGGCCCGGGCGCCACAGGUGGUGCCCUGCCCACCUCCCCCGGCCGGGCCCUCAGCGCCAAUGGCGCCCUGAUAGCGGGAGCCCGAGAAGGCGCGGUAGCGCCAAGGGCGGUCGCCUUAGCCAAGGUCUGGCGCACUAUGACAGCGGCGGGGUUUCCCACAGAGACUACAGACUCGCAGUGUCGGGGGACGAAGUCCGGGCCAGCCCUGCCAGGGAACCUCGAGGCAUGGUGCUCUGGCCGACCCCUAGCCCGGUCGCUGGUCCGGUCCCCAGGGACAGCAAGCUGAGCGGCCUGUGAGCAGCAGCAGCGUCAAGCAUCAGGCACUUCCAGCUCCUGCGUGAACGGACUCCAUAGAAGAACAAUAUAAAGAUUUUGCUGAAUGAGAACAAAAAACUGAUGGAGCAGACUGUUCUGCCAGCAUCCUGUGUGGAGGCAAAGAGGUUCUGUGAAGAGGCCGGAAUGAACAUCUGUGUCCCCAGAGCCAAACAGUUGCAGGUCCAGCAAGUAUCGGCAUAGCAAGAUUUCCUGAAGUGGAAAUGAGUACAGACCACAGCAGCACAGCCUGCUUGACUGUAAGAGACUUGUACAUAACAUAGCUCCCACUAAUUCUUCAUUCAACAGAAAACCUGCUGGAUAAAAGGUAUGUUUUCCUUAGUGUGUGUGUGUGUGUGUGUGUGUGUGUGUGUGUGUGUGUGUGUGUGUGUGUGUGUGUGUGUGUGCAUGUGUGUGUAUUUGUGUUUUAGUUUGUGCAAAAAUAUAACUGUGUUGCCUAUUUCCAAGUUUACUGAGAAAACCACUCUGAGAGUUCACUUUGCGUCAUGAAACAUCAAAUACAGCAGCCCAAUCAUUUUAGCCUCUCCUCCUAGCUCUGUACAGCAAAAGGACACAAAAGCACUUGUAAAGUUCAAUUUUAACGGUAUUAGGGGCAAACCUACCAAUCUGCAUUGAAAUCCUUUGGAGCACAUUAAAGGAAUGGAGUACAUGGAGGUAAGGAGGAGGCUUCUCUAUAAAAUCCAUGAGUUUAUAUUCCUUCUUUGUCCUUUGUGAAUUGUGAAAGCCCACUGAAAGGUUAUGUCACUCACUGUGUCUUCUCCAAGCUUGUUUUCCACAUUGCCUGCUCCCAUUUCUUUCCAGCUACCUUGGCACAGUACAACUUCACCUUGGAGUCUGGCUUGGAUUGUAUUCACUGAGAAAUUGAGUUGCAUGGAGUUGUAUUGGCAUCCAGCAGAAGUCCCAUAGCUGUGCUGUGGUGCAAGAACAGGGCAGGUUCAGGAGCGGCUUUAGAUGCACAAAUAACCUAAAGCAUCCCCUGUUUUAUCUGUGUAGCAUUCUGCAAGGGCUGUUAGUCAACAUCAUUUUCUCUGAGUUAAAGUCAGCCUCAGUGGGGGAUAGGAGGAAUGAGGAUCUUAAGACAGGUCUGGUAGUGUAAGAACAGGUAGGCCUAUGAGAAGCCAUGUACAGAAAUUGGAACAGAAGUUUUAGUUGACCCAAAGAUUACAGAACAAGGAGUAGGUGUCAACAGAGCAACUAGGGCUCAUCAGUGCUGUGGUGGUCCCCAAGCAGCCCUGAAGGAGAAUCUGUCCAGACGUCCAUCAGCCAAGGGAGUGAAAAUGUACUAUACGGUGGGGCCAUUCCAUGGAUUAUGAUUCAGUGUAAGAUAAUCCAUGCAAGCAUUUACUUACUUACUCAAAAUAUCUGUGACACAAUCACAUUAUGGGGAGAAAAACUGUUCAUUUGUAUCCUGGGUAUGGAGAUUUCCUAUGAUUCUGUUCCAAUAGCCUUGGGCACGAAGUCAUUCAAGUUAAGGUAAAGAGAGCUGCUAUUAGAAGAAGCUGCACACUGUGGGGCAAGUCUGAAACAGUGGCCAAGAACAGAGUCUAAUCCACCACCAAUAUAUGAUCCUUUGCUGGGAAACAAGCCUGCUCUACACAGCCUUGGGAACGAGCUAAGCCAGAUUGGGGAAUAAGAAUAAGGAAGGAUUAGAGGAAACAAUGCAGACACUCUGAAGCAGAGAGAACUGAUCACCCAGGAAAGUGACUUGGGAGAAACAGUGUAGAAGAAUUGUGACAUCUUUGAGAUCAGGUAGGAACAUAGGCUGGCAGAAGCCAGUUGGAUUUCCUGUCCUAUAUAACUAUCCUUUGUGGGUGACUGACCUCCUACGUGGUUUCAGCCUCAGUCAGCUAAAGAACUACUCGGAGUAUUAUUCUGGUACAGUUUAUAUGAAUUUUGUCCAUAAUGCAAUAUAUGUGAUCUUCAAGAUUUCUUGGUAUUUUCUACUUCUUCUUCCUCUUACCUCUGUGGUAAACUCUGAGAACAUUUUCUUUUCUGUUCUCUCACAAAUUGCCUUACAAUGACUAUACACAUACAGGGGUUCUGUUCUGUUUGUACACCACCAUCACCUUUAAUGCUUAGAGUGUACACUGGGAAGAUUUACACGGAGCCCAUUCUCAGUGAUUACAGGAUGUAUGCAGUGCCCAUGGUUUUGAUGUGAGAUGGUUUCUCUGUGUAUUUACAGAUACAGUGGUUACAAAUGGAACCUAGGCAGGUUCCUUCACUGCAAAAAUAAUCUGAACCUUCACUUCAAUUCUGAGCAGGUUCUCCAUAAGACAUCCACAUGGUAUUCUAGGUUGCUCAUAUCUCUCUUGAACUCAGAUUCAGACAUAGCCACAAUGUUGUUAUUCAAUAUAAUAUACCUGGACCAGUGAAAAAAAUAUGCUCAUUUUUCUUUUGAUUCCAGUACUGUGCGUAGUCCACAGUUCGAUUUCUAGCAGUUUUUAAAAGCUGAUAUAUAAAUCGAAGCCCAUUUACUCUAUGACACUUGGGGAUGCAGGAAAUGACCUCAGUUGACAGGUAAUGCUGGAUUGUCCAACCGAAUGGAGCUGACGUAAGAGGGAGAGCUGAAUCAACAAACCCUCACUAAUCCUUUUUUCCCUUGCUCUGCUACGUCUAAAAUUCUCCAGCGAAACUCGAACAUGGCAUAGACCAGAACAAGAUCUCCCUUGGAGAGCAGUGCCACAGGAGGAGUCUAAGUGUGCACAACAAAUACACCACUAUUACAUCGCAUCCUUAAUAUCCAUAGCAGUUGUGGGCUGCAUUUUCCUACUUUAGUUUGAUUUCUUUGGAUUGAAUAGGCCAUACUUUCAUCUCGGCUCUCCCCAGCAAGCGUGCACAUUUGGAAGGACUCAGAGAAGAGCUGAUGCACAUCAAUCGAGAACUGCUGGGCAUCCAGGAAGAGUGUGCACAUGUACAUUUGUACUUGUCCUGAAGGGUCACCCAGAAGAGUUUCAUGGAGAUCAGUCCACAACAUUGGAAAAACUUUGAGUCAAAGACUGUCAUAUGUUUUAUACUCAGUAUUGGAUGGCUUUGUCCUUCAUACCCUCACUCCAACAAGGCAGACCUACUUACAUUCCCCUUGAAAAGAUUAUUACCAUCAGUAACUGCUUGUCUACUGUGUUUCCAAGGCAAGUCAUUGGCUAUAAGUCAAUUCUGCAAACGAGCAUCAAAAGAAUGCUUAGGACAAUUCCUCUGUUUACAUUUUGGUUUGACUUUUGAUUACUUUGGUUAUUUGGUUUUCCUUAUAUUCAUUUGAAGUUUUGUUAUUUAUUCAUUGUUGUUUUGUUCAUUCAUUUGAUUUGCUAUUUUGAUAAGGAUACAAACUGUAUAUAUUGACUACCUGCAUCUGGAUACUAUUGAUGUAUUCUGGUGAAUAAAAGAGUGAUCUCAAACUCUCAACUCUUAAGAACCUUCUUUAUUGAGGUGUGGUUUCACCAUCUGAUGUCCCACGGCUAUCAGGCAGGGAUGGAUCUCUGCAUUCUCAUGGGGACUGGGCAUCAUAAUUACUUCCCAGUCAGACUGAGAUACAAAGGCAAUUAUACUUUCACUUUAGACUGUGUUUCCAACUCCGUGAAUACCAAGUUCAUCAUGCAAAAAUUACCCAUUGUAUAUACUUGUUUUUAAAUAUUUAGUUACCACUAAAUUAUACUCUUCUGUGGAUGAGAAUGUUAAACAAAUUAAUGGGAUAAACAUCAAAUUUUCUAUAAUAUCUCCCAGGAAAUAUAAACAUUGUAUAAGGGAGAUGAAAGCAAUCAGAAAACCUGCACCAAAAUCCCGUGGUGGAGAGUGCUGAACACCCAGAAAUGCGGACAAUCCUGAGACCACAGGACACACCGCCCCUUCCCCCCAACUCUUCCCACAUCCCUGGCCCAAGAGUAAACUGCAUAGUGCCUCUGGAUAUAGGAAUGUAGGAGCAGUCAGUGGC